UACAGAGGUCUCAAGCGUUGUUCGGAUUCAUUGGGCGUAAAGGGUGCGUAGGCGGCGCGGUAAGUCGGGUGUGAAAUCUCGGAGCUUAACUCCGAAACUGCAUUCGAUACUGCCGUGCUUGAGGACUGGAGAGGAGACUGGAAUUUACGGUGUAGCGGUGAAAUGCGUAGAGAUCGGGAGGAAGGCCGGUGGCGAAGGCGGCGCUCUGGUCGACAUCUGACGCUGAGACGCGAAAAGCGUGGGGAGCGAACGGG
rnacentral:rRNA from 1 species